rnacentral:rRNA from 1 species
CACGUAGGGCGCGAGCGUUUGUCCGGAAUUAUUGGGCGUAAAGAGCUCGUAGGCGGCCUGUUGCGUCCGCUGUGAAAGCCCGGGGCUUAACCCCGGUCUGCAGUGGAUACGGGCAGGCUAGAGGUAGGUAGGGGAGACUGGAAUUCCUGGUGUAGCGGUGAAAUGCGCAGAUAUCAGGAGGAACACCGGUGGCGAAGGCGGCUCACUGGCUCGUAACUGACGCUCAUGCACGACAGCGUGGGGAUCAAACAGG